GCCCGGUUAGCUCAAUCGGUAGAGCGUGAGACUCUUAAUCUCAAGGUUGCGGGUUAGUAGCUAAUCCCAAUCCUCCUCCAGCAAGUUUGUUGUCCCAUGCUAACACACGAGUUCACAGGUUCGACCCCCGCAUCGGGCU